UGCAGUCGACGAUGAACCGGUUUCGGCCGGGGAUUAGUGGCGAACGGGUGAGUAACACGUGGGCAAUCUGCCCUGCACUCUGGGACAAGCCCUGGAAACGGGGUCUAAUACCGGAUAUGACACGCUCCCGCAUGGGAUGCGUGUGGAAAGCUCCGGCGGUGCAGGAUGAGCCCGCGGCCUAUCAGCUUGUUGGUGGGGUGAUGGCCUACCAAGGCGACGACGGGUAGCCGGCCUGAGAGGGCGACCGGCCACACUGGGACUGAGACACGGCCCAGACUCCUACGGGAGGCAGCAGUGGGGAAUAUUGCACAAUGGGCGAAAGCCUGAUGCAGCGACGCCGCGUGAGGGAUGACGGCCUUCGGGUUGUAAACCUCUUUCAGCAGGGAAGAAGCGAGAGUGACGGUACCUGCAGAAGAAGCGCCGGCUAACUACGUGCCAGCAGCCGCGGUAAUACGUAGGGCGCAAGCGUUGUCCGGAAUUAUUGGGCGUAAAGAGCUCGUAGGCGGCUUGUCGCGUCGGAUGUGAAAGCCCGGGGCUUAACUCCGGGUCUGCAUUCGAUACGGGCAGGCUAGAGUUCGGUAGGGGAGAUCGGAAUUCCUGGUGUAGCGGUGAAAUGCGCAGAUAUCAGGAGGAACACCGGUGGCGAAGGCGGAUCUCUGGGCCGAUACUGACGCUGAGGAGCGAAAGCGUGGGGAGCGAACAGGAUUAGAUACCCUGGUAGUCCACGCCGUAAACGUUGGGAACUAGGUGUGGGCGACAUUCCACGUCGUCCGCGCCGCAGCUAACGCAUUAAGUUCCCCGCCUGGGGAGUACGGCCGCAAGGCUAAAACUCAAAGGAAUUGAC
rnacentral:rRNA from 1 species